rnacentral:rRNA from 1 species
GACGAACGCUGGCGGCGUGCUUAACACAUGCAAGUCGAACGGAAAGGCCCUGCUUUUGUGGGGUGCUCGAGUGGCGAACGGGUGAGUAACACGUGAGUAACCUGCCCUUGACUUUGGGAUAACUUCAGGAAACUGGGGCUAAUACCGGAUAGGAGCUCCUGCUGCAUGGUGGGGGUUGGAAAGUUUCGGCGGUUGGGGAUGGACUCGCGGCUUAUCAGCUUGUUGGUGGGGUAGUGGCUUACCAAGGCUUUGACGGGUAGCCGGCCUGAGAGGGUGACCGGCCACAUUGGGACUGAGAUACGGCCCAGACUCCUACGGGAGGCAGCAGUGGGGAAUAUUGCACAAUGGGCGGAAGCCUGAUGCAGCAACGCCGCGUGCGGGAUGACGGCCUUCGGGUUGUAAACCGCUUUCGCCUGUGACGAAGCGUGAGU